rnacentral:rRNA from 1 species
GGAGGAAAGUAGGGGAUCGCAAGACCUUGCGCUAAAGGAGCGGCCGAUGUCUGAUUAGUUAGUUGGUGGGGUAAAGGCCUACCAAGGCAACGAUCAGUAGCUGGUCUGAGAGGACGAUCAGCCACACUGGGACUGAGACACGGCCCAGACUCCUACGGGAGGCAGCAGUGGGGAAUUUUGGACAAUGGGCGAAAGCCUGAUCCAGCCAUGCCGCGUGAAUGAAGAAGGCCUUCGGGUUGUAAAGUUCUUUUAGUUGGAAAGAAAAAAUUAUGAUGAAUAAUCAUAAUUCAUGACGGUACCGACAGAAAAAGCACCGGCUAACUACGUGCCAGCAGCCGCGGUAAUACGUAGGGUGCAAGCGUUAAUCGGAAUU